rnacentral:rRNA from 1 species
GAUGAACGCUGGCGGCGUGCCUAAUACAUGCAAGUCGAGCGAACGGACGAGAAGCUUGCUUCUCUGAUGUUAGCGGCGGACGGGUGAGUAACACGUGGAUAACCUACCUAUAAGACUGGGAUAACUUCGGGAAACCGGAGCUAAUACCGGAUGAUAUUUUGAACCGCAUGGUUCAAAAGUGAAAGACGGUCUUGCUGUCACUUAUAGAUGGAUCCGCGCUGCAUUAGCUAGUUGGUAAGGUAACGGCUUACCAAGGCAACGAUGCAUAGCCGACCUGAGAGGGUGAUCGGCCACACUGGAACUGAGACACGGCCCAGACUCCUACGGGAGGCAGCAGUAGGGAAUCUUCCGCAAUGGGCGAAAGCCUGACGGAGCAACGCCGCGUGAGUGAUGAAGGUCUUCGGAUCGUAAAACUCUGUUAUUAGGGAAGAACAUAUGUGUAAGUAACUGUGCACAUCUUGACGGUACCUAAUCAGAAAGCCACGGCUAACUACGUGCCAGCAGCCGCGGUAAUACGUAGGUGGCAAGCGUUAUCCGGAAUUAUUGGGCGUAAAGCGCGCGUGGCGGUUUUUUAGUCUGAUGUGAAAGCCCACGGCUCAACCGUGGAGGGUCAUUGGAAACUGGAAAACUUGAGUGCAGAAGAGGAAAGUGGAAUUCCAUGUGUAGCGGUGAAAUGCGCAGAGAUAUGGAGGAACACCAGUGGCGAAGGCGACUUUCUGGUCUGUAACUGACGCUGAUGUGCGAAAGCGUGGGGAUCAAACAGGAUUAGAUACCCUGGUAGUCCACGCCGUAAACGAUGAGUGCUAAGUGUUAGGGGGUUUCCGCCCCUUAGUGCUGCAGCUAACGCAUUAAGCACUCCGCCUGGGGAGUACGACCGCAAGGUUGAAACUCAAAGGAAUUGACGGGGACCCGCACAAGCGGUGGAGCAUGUGGUUUAAUUCGAAGCAACGCGAAGAACCUUACCAAAUCUUGACAUCCUUUGACAACUCUAGAGAUAGAGCCUUCCCCUUCGGGGGACAAAGUGACAGGUGGUGCAUGGUUGUCGUCAGCUCGUGUCGUGAGAUGUUGGGUUAAGUCCCGCAACGAGCGCAACCCUUAAGCUUAGUUGCCAUCAUUAAGUUGGGCACUCUAAGUUGACUGCCGGUGACAAACCGGAGGAAGGUGGGGAUGACGUCAAAUCAUCAUGCCCCUUAUGAUUUGGGCUACACACGUGCUACAAUGGACAAUACAAAGGGCAGCGAAACCGCGAGGUCAAGCAAAUCCCAUAAAGUUGUUCUCAGUUCGGAUUGUAGUCUGCAACUCGACUACAUGAAGCUGGAAUCGCUAGUAAUCGUAGAUCAGCAUGCUACGGUGAAUACGUUCCCGGGUCU